rnacentral:rRNA from 1 species
UAAUUUACUAUAUUGUUCGCCAGAGAACUACAAGCGCUAGCUUAAAACCCAAAGGACUUGGCGGUGUCCCAAACCCACCUAGAGGAGCCUGUUCUAUAACCGAUAAUCCCCGUUAAACCUCACCACUUCUAGCCAUCCCCGUUUAUAUACCGCCGUCGUCAGCUCACCCUAUGAAGGCCAAAAAGUAAGCAAAAAGAAUCAACUCCCAUACGUCAGGUCGAGGUGUAGCAAAUGAAGUGGAUAGAAAUGGGCUACAUUUUCUAUAAAGAAAACACGAAUGGUAAACUGAAAAAUUACCUAAAGGUGGAUUUAGCAGUAAGAAAAGAUUAGAGAGCUUCUCUGAAACUGGCUCUGGGACGCGCACACACCGCCCGUCACUCUCCUCAAAAAAAUCCAUUCAUUUUUAAUUAAAAAAAAUCAUCAAGAGGAGGCAAGUCGUAACAUGGUAAGUGUACUGGAAAGUGCACUUGGAAUC